ACAUGGGUUUCUUUCUGGGUGUGGUCUGACAUACCUACCACCCUAGCAUGUGGGAUGUACAGGCGAGCAGGUUGCUUCAAAUUCCAAAGCAGCCGAAGAUGCACAAGAAGGCAGGCCUCUGGGGGCUGGGGAUUUAGCUCAGUGGUAGAGCGCUUACCUAGGAAGCGCAAGGCCCUGGGUUCGGUCCCCAGCUCCGAAAAAAAAAAAAGAACCAA
rnacentral:lncRNA from 1 species